rnacentral:rRNA from 1 species
AGUCGACGAGAGGACAUGGGAAGCUUGCUUCCUAUGAAAUCGAGUGGCAAACGGGUGAGUAACGCGUAAACAACCUGCCCUUCGGAUGGGGAUAACAGCCGGAAACGGCUGCUAAUACCGAAUACGAUCUUUUCGUCGCAUGACGGAAAGAAGAAAGGAUGGCCUCUAUACAAAGCUAUCGCCGAAGGAGGGGUUUGCGUCUGAUUAGCUGGUUGGAGGGGUAACGGCCCAACAAGGCGAUGAUCAGUAGCCGGUCUGAGAGGAUGAACGGCCACAUUGGGACUGAGACACGGCCCAGACUCCUACGGGAGGCAGCAGUGGGGAAUCUUCCGCAAUGGACGAAAGUCUGACGGAGCAACGCCGCGUGAGUGAAGAAGGUCUUCGGAUUGUAAAGCUCUGUUAUACGGGACGAAAAAGACGGAUGCCAACAGUAUCCGUCCGUGACGGUACCGUAAGAGAAAGCCACGGCUAACUACGUGCCAGCAGCCGCGGUAAUACGUAGGUGGCAAGCGUUGUCCGGAAUUAUUGGGCGUAAAGGGCGCGCAGGCGGUUCGGUAAGUCUGUCUUAAAAGUGCGGGGCUUAACCCCGUGAGGGGACGGAAACUGUCGAACUUGAGUGUCGGAGAGGAAAGCGGAAUUCCUA